CGGACAGUGCGGAGUGGAGGUUGCACUGCCCAGCGUGUUUCUCGUUUGUAGUGUAAAUCUGUGCUGCGCGGUUCCGCUGACUCCACCCUCAGGGUCUUGGGAGUCACUACGGACCUUAACUCCCAGCAGCCGGCCCUCCGACCCAGUAAAUCCAGACAUCGCUGUUACAGGUCGGGUAUGUUUUCCUUUGGGUUUGAAAUCGUUCUGAGGCGGGUCCCGGUGCCCUUGGCUUUUCUACCUUCGGUGCAGAUCGACCUCUAAAGACUCAUAUUGUCUGAGGAAGAAGCCCGGAAGAGGAGGGAGAGGAAAGAAAACGAGUCAGAAAUGGCUCUUUCUCAGGCACCGUUGACCUUCAAGGAUGUGGCCGUAGGAUUCACUCAGGAGGAGUGGGAAUGCCUGGACCCUGCUCAGAGGGCCUUGUACAGGGACGUGAUGGUGGAGACCUACAGGAACCUGCUCUCCCUGGCAUAAUGUGUUAUGAGUGAUGAGGACUCCAUAUAGGACUCUGAUUCAAGAGGAAUCUCGUGAAACUUAUGAAAUCCUCAUGUGUGACUCAAGUCAUGUUUUGGUAGAACUUUUUCUCCUUUUUCUUCUAUCCUUAACAUACAAGGUUGGAUGUAUUUUGUGUGAACAAAGAAGGGACAAAUUAUUUCUGAUAGAAGCUGCACUAACAUGUAUUAUAAUAUUAUUUCCAACUAUCACCCUGCUAUGCAGUUAUACAUGACAUUUGUUUGGUUUCUCUCAAAGAUGUAUAUUCUGAUAUAAGGUAAGGCAUGAGCCCUAGUUACAGGCUUUUCCACAUAAGUUUUGUAUGGUUUCUCUCUAUGAUGGAGUCUCUUUUUAUUGAAAUAUAAUUGAUAUACAACAGUAUUAGUAUUGGCUGUACUACAUGAGGUAACAUUUGCAUACUUUAUGAAAUGAUCACAAUGAGUAGCCAUCUUUCCUCAGAGCUACUACCAUACUACUUCUAAACACAUUCCUUAUGCUGGAUAUUACAUCCCCAUGACUUAUUAUAUAGAGGUUUGUGCCUCUUAAUCUCCUUCACCUAUUUUACCUGCUGCUGCACCGCCCUUCCUUCUGGCAACAACCACACAUUUGUUCUUUAUCUGUGAAUCUGUUUUCCUUGUCUUGUGCUUUUACUUCUUUGAUUCCACUUACAAGUGAGAUCGUGCAGUAUUUGUUUUUCUACACCUGACUUACGUCUCUUCGCAUAAAAUCCUCUAGAUCCAUCCAUUUUGUUGCAAAUGGCUGGACUUCUUUUCUUAAGGGUGACUGAUAUUCCACUGUGCGGCAUGGACAUACAACAUCUCCUCUAAGCGUUCAUCUAUUGAUGGACACCUAGGCUGCUUCUCUAUCUUGGCUACUGGAAAUAAUGUUACAAUGAAUAUUCAAAUGCCUAUAUUUUCUCAAAUUAUUGUUUUUCUUUUCUGCCAGUAAAUACUUCAAAGUGCAAUACCUGGUUCAUCUGUUUUAAUUUUUGAGGAACUUCAGUAAUGUUUUCCGUAAAUGUUGCACCAACUUACAAUCCCAGCAAUAGUGGACAGGGUUCCCUUUUCUCCACACCAUUGCCAAUGCUUGUCUUUCUGAUGAUAGCCAUUGUAAACAGGUGUGAGGUGGUACCUCAUUGAGCUUUUUUUAUAUGAUUUUUUAAAAUUUUAUUCAUUUAUUUAAUUUUUAGCUGCAUUGGGUGUUCGCUGCUGCACACGGGUUUCCUCUAGGUGCUAGAGAGCGGGGGCUACUCUUUGUGGCGGCACGUGGGCUUCUCAUCAUGGUGGCUUCUCUUGAUGCAGAGCACGGGCUCUAGGCACCCGGGCUUCAGUAGUUGUGGCUCACAGGCUCUAGAGCGCAGGCUCAGUAGUUGUGGCACACAGGCUUAGCUGCUCCAUGGCAGGUGGGAUCUUCCUGGACCAGGGCUUGAACCCGUGCCCCCUGCAUUGGCAGGCGGAUUCUUAACCACUGUACCACCAGGGAAGCCCCCUCAUUGCGCUUUUGAUUUACACUUCCCUGAUGAUCAGUGACGGUGAGCAUCUUUUCAUGUGUCUGCUGGCCAUCUGUAUGUCUUCUUUCUCCCUGAUAGACUCCCAUAUGUUAAGUAAGGCUUGAAUACAUGCACAGAUUUUGUCUGAAUUGCUUUAUUCUUAAAGUUUCUACUUUUAAAAUCUCUGGUGACCCCUAAACCUUGAGCUUUUGGACCAAAGCAUUGCCACUUAUGUGAGGCUUAUGUUUGUUUUCAGUAUGUAUUUUGAGAUGCCUGGUGAGGCUUGCAAAUUGAGUAUAAGCUUUGCAACACAUAUUACAUUGGUAAGGAUUUUCUCCAGUGUGGAUUGUUUUAUGUUGAAUAAGAUAUGAAUGUCUUGUAAGGGCUUUGACACACUCAUCACAUUCGUAAAGUUUCUCUCCAGUGUGAGUUCUCUCAUGACCCCAAAGUUGUGACCGUUCAAUGAAAGCCUUAUCACAUUGAUUACAUGUAAAAGGCUUUUCUCCUGUAUGAAUCCUCUGGUGUGCUAUAAGGCUUGAACGCUGCGUGAAAUGCUCGCCACACUCGUGACAUCUGUGUGGUUCCUCUCUAGUGUGGACUCUCUCAUGCUGAGUAAGAUACGAGUGCACUGUAAAGGCUUUGCCACACUAAGACAUCUGUAUGAUUUCUGUCCGGUAUGGAUUCUCUUAUGUCUGUUAAAGCUUGACUGCUCAGCACAGGCUUUGCCACACUCAUGACAUUUGUAAGGCUUCUCUCCUGUAUGCACUCUCUGAUGUGUUGUGAGGUGUGACUGGUGGUUAAAGGCUUUGCCACACUCACUACAUCUGUAAGGUUUCUGUCCAGAAUGAAUUCUCCUGUGAUUCCUGAGGUUUGAGCUUUUGCUAAAAGCCUUCCCACAGUCAUUACAGUUGUAAGAUUUUUCUCGAGUGUGUGUUCUCCUGUGUUGUGCAGGUGACAAAGUGUUUUCCACACUAGGAGCAAUUCUGUGAAGUGGUGAAACUGAGGAACCACUGCUGACUGGCUUCUCAACUUGACCGCAUGCAUACAUUUUCUCC